GUGUGUGUAUGUGUGUGUAUAUAUAUAUAUGUGUGUGUGUAUAUAUAUAUAUGUAUAUAUAUAUAUACAUACACACACACACACACAC